rnacentral:lncRNA from 1 species
CUCCGCCCCGCCCGGGUGUGUGUGUGGGGUGGGGUGGGGGGGGUUGUCCCGCUGCGGCCGCCCGCGCGCACCACUCUGGGGACUGUCCCUCCGAGGCACCGCGCGCACCAUGGCGCGCCUGGGUGUGCCUCUCCGCGCUGCUCCUGGCUGCUGGCGGCUCUGGUGGCCGCCCCGGAUGGAGAUUUCGAUUUGUCUGACGCCCUUGGCGACACCGAAGACAAGAAACCCACUCCGACCCCCAAAAAGCCCAGUUCUGGGGACGAUUUUGACUUAGAAGAUGCUCUUGGUGGCGGAGGACAUCAUGACCCGGCACCGCCCAACCCACCCAAGCCCAAGCCGCAUCCGAACCCCAACCAACCCGGUUCCAGCGGUAAGAGCCUCCAACCCCGUUGUGGGUUAUUUAUUUGUCUGUUGUCUGAUGUCUUAGUCAGCCGAGAGGAGGUGAUUUCAGGUUAGCAUGUGCUCUCUGCUCACGCCCUGUGCAGGUAGUUCCAGGGUUCGGGUGCGUGGAAAACGUAGCGUUCAAAAAUGUGUUUUUGAGGCCGGGGCGGGGGCUUUAUCUCCGGAUUUGGCUGUUGAUUUCUUUUGUGGUGGGU